rnacentral:rRNA from 1 species
UCGGGAAUAUUGCGCAAUGGAGGAAACUCUGACGCAGUGACGCCGCGUGCAGGAAGAAGGUUUUCGGAUUGUAAACUGCUUUAGACAGGGAAGAAGAAGGACAGUACCUGUAGAAUAAGCUCCGGCUAACUACGUGCCAGCAGCCGCGGUAAUACGUAGGGAGCGAGCGUUAUCCGGAUUUAUUGGGUGUAAAGGGUGCGUAGACGGGAAUGUAAGUUAGUUGUGAAAUACCUCGGCUUAACUGAGGAACUGCAACUAAAACUAUAUUUCUUGAGUACUGGAGAGGAAAGUGGAAUUCCUAGUGUAGCGGUGAAAUGCGUAGAUAUUAGGAGGAACACCAGUGGCGAAGGCGACUUUCUGGACAGAAACUGACGUUGAGGCACGAAAGUGUGGGGAGCAAACAGG